GACGAACGCUGGCGGCGUGCUUAACACAUGCAAGUCGAACGGAAAGGCCCUGCUUUUGUGGGGUGCUCGAGUGGCGAACGGGUGAGUAACACGUGAGUAACCUGCCCUUGACUUUGGGAUAACUUCAGGAAACUGGGGCUAAUACCGGAUAGGAGCUCCUGCUGCAUGGUGGGGGUUGGAAAGUUUCGGCGGUUGGGGAUGGACUCGCGGCUUAUCAGCUUGUUGGUGGGGUAGUGGCUUACCAAGGCUUUGACGGGUAGCCGGCCUGAGAGGGUGACCGGCCACAUUGGGACUGAGAUACGGCCCAGACUCCUACGGGAGGCAGCAGUGGGGAAUAUUGCACAAUGGGCGGAAGCCUGAUGCAGCAACGCCGCGUGCGGGAUGAUGGCCUUCGGGUUGUAACCCGCUUUCGCCUGUGACGAAGCGUGAGUGACGGUAAUGGGUAAAGAAGCACCGGCUAACUACGUG
rnacentral:rRNA from 1 species